rnacentral:rRNA from 1 species
GAUGAACGCUGGCGGCGUGCCUAAUACAUGCAAGUCGAGCGAACAGACGAGGAGCUUGCUCCUCUGACGUUAGCGGCGGACGGGUGAGUAACACGUGGAUAACCUACCUAUAAAACUGGGAUAACUUCGGGAAACCGGAGCUAAUACCGGAUAAUAUAUUGAACCGCAUGGUUCAAUAGUUAAAGACGGUUUUGCUGUCGCUUAUAGAUGGAUCCGCGCCGCAUUAGCUAGUUGGUAAGGUAACGGCUUACCAAGGCAACGAUGCGUAGCCGACCUGAGAGGGUGAUCGGCCACACUGGAACUGAGACACGGUCCAGACUCCUACGGGAGGCAGCAGUAGGGAAUCUUCCGCAAUGGGCGAAAGCCUGAUGGAGCAACGCCGCGUGAGUGAUGAAGGUCUUCGGAUCGUAAAACUCUGUUAUUAGGGAAGAACAAAUGUGUAAGUAACUAUGCACGUCUUGACGGUACCUAAUCAGAAAGCCACGGCUAACUACGUG